UAUAGGAUUCUCGAAUGAGCUGCGAGAUGAUGCUGGGAUUGGGCGUUUAUGGACUCUCAUGUCUAGAAGCAAAACUGUGGGUCCUGUGCAGGAUAUAGCGGCAACUGUCAUAAAUGAAAGGGACCUGUUAUUUGUGGGUAAACCUACUUAAUUAAAAAAUGGUUACAAGCUAAUUCUGUUGUCUGUCACUUGAGGAUGGAGAGAGCAAGUCUUUGCUUGCCAUUGAAAUUUUCGAAAAGCUUCAUACUGAAACUCCAACUGAAUAUAUGACCAUUGCUUUUUACUAUUUGCCACAUCGUUUUGUUUCGUUGUCAUUUCCAGUUCCAUAUUCCAAAUAUAUCUUCCAUGGACUGGAUUCUAUCUAUUUUGAUCCCAAGAUAAAGUUUGGAAGUGAACAUUACCAUUACCUUUAACUUGAAAUCCACACAGAGUAAACGGUUAUCAAUUAAUUGAAUUACCACCGCUCCACAUAAUGCAUUUAUAUUGUAUGAAGGGAUUGCGUAGUGUAUUGAUAUAUUUUCCAGUUUUUUUGCCCUCUCAUAAAUAGGAGCAAUUCAGAUGAGAGCAAAACAAACUAGAUAUGUCAUUCUGGACUUGGUGUUCUAUUAAGUAAUUUCUACUAUUUUUCUUCUUCCAAAAAAAAACUGCUCUAUUCAAGUUAUUCCUUCAAAAUAUGCUUGGUGCAAAUAUUAAGAAAACUCCUGCUUGUGGUUCCCUCCUUUUUAGCUAUUUUUAGCCUUGUUGAUUAAUCCAUCUUUCAUUAGCCUUAGGGAUAUAUGUCGGUCAAUUUUCCCAUACUUAACUUAAUUAGCAAUCAUAUUUUGGGAACAUGCAGCACAAGUUCCCAUACUUCUUUCACUAACCUUAGAUCUGCAGGAGCUCUCACACUGUGGACACAGGUAUGCAUCUCUGAAUAUUGAAGCUUGAAAUUCAAAACACCUCAUUAGUGCUUUAUUCUCGAUUCCCGCUUGAUUAGAUUAUUAAACUUAGAACAAGCACGUAAGCAAUAUUACAAUUCUGAAAUGACCUUGAUGUCAUCUGAUAUCAUUGCAUAUUUGCAUUUUAAUUCACAGAACUUAAUCUGCUCAAAUAAAGGACUACAAACAAAAAAUAUAUGUGCAGAUUAUUUGUCAAUGAAUUUGAGAUCGCAUCGCUUACUUCAACGACCUAUAUCAACAUGCAUUCUCUUUUAUGUGUAAAUUAGUUGUGUUUACCAAGGCACUAAGAACCUCACAUUGUUUUGACAAUCUGAUAGGGAACCAACUUAUGAGUUCAUAAAACAACCUGUUCUUCAAGAAGCAUAGGACAGCAAGAGCUGCGGACUCCUGAUCUGUGUCUUGAAUAUUUUAUCUGCGGACAAUCAGCACUAUAAAGGAUGAUAGCAUUGCUGCCAUUUAGGAUAGCAUUCCUGCUUGAACGCUGUCUGGUCAAGUUAUGCCUACUCCUUGGAAGAUUCCAUAGAAACUAACGAAGCAAGGAAUCCUUUGAACGAUUCGGGAUAUCUUCUUUUGAUGGAUGGGAUGAUCUUGCAGUACCAACCAUAUCUAGAAGUGAAUUGCGAGCUUGAAGUGUAACCAAUAUUAUUGCUUUUGGUGUGCCGUGGUCAUGCUGGAUAUAGCCAGCUAGCAUAACUAAAGCGUAUUCAUGCCUCUAGCUUCUCGGAACUCCUAUAUGUACCAUUAUUCCAUAUUGUACCUGCUGUUAUUGUUACCUGUGGGAUUCAUAUCGUUGCCAGCUAAUGAGCUGAUGAACCUUUCGUCGGUUGUCCUAAAUCUUUAAACCUCCAUAUUAGCUCUGACAUUUGCGGUUUAAA